rnacentral:rRNA from 1 species
UACGUAGGGUGCAAGCGUUAAUCGGAAUUACUGGGCGUAGAGCGUGCGCAGGCGGCUUUGCAAGACAGAUGUGAAAUCCCCGGGCUCAACCUGGGAACUGCAUUUGUGACUGCAUGGCUGGAGUGCGGCAGAGGGGGAUGGAAUUCCGCGUGUAGCAGUGAAAUGCGUAGAUAUGCGGAGGAACACCGAUGGCGAAGGCAAUCCCCUGGGCCUGCACUGACGCUCAUGCACGAAAGCGUGGGGAGCAAACAGG